CACACACUGAGGAAACCAUGUGAAGACACAGUGAGAAGGCAGCCACCUCAAGCCAGAAAGAAAACCCUCACCAGGAACAGACCCUGCUGGAACUAGGUCUGGGACUUCUAGCCUCCAGAAUUCUGGAACAGCGAGAUGCAAAAUCCUGAACCUUCAAAGCCAGCUCCUGCAGAAGAGAGAGGGCCUGGCAGCUGAGCUGGAUGCUUCAGGAGCAGAGGAUCUAUCAACUGCAGACCAAGCAUAGGGAGACGCAGGCAGACCUGGAACAGAAACCCAGCCAGCUCCAGCCGCUCCGACAGUACUUGGUGGCCAGAGAGUCAGCAGCAGGAAGCAUGAGGCAGGAAAUUACCCAAUCCUUGAGGUCUGGUAAAGAAAACAAAGACCCAACUGGGAGAUACUGAAAUGGAUGCACCUACUUUCAAGCCCAGGCCUUCAGAGAG